rnacentral:rRNA from 1 species
GCUAAUACCGGAUAACAACAGAUGAUGCCUAUCAACUGUUUAAAAGAAUGGUUCUGCUAUCACUCUUGGAUGGACCUGCGGUGCAUUAGCUAGUUGGUAGGGUAACGGCCUACCAAGGCGAUGAUGCAUAGCCGAGUUGAGAGACUGAUCGGCCACAUUGGGACUGANACACGGCCCAAACUCCUACGGGAGGCAGCAGCC